UAUCGAGGCUGAAUAGUUCGGUUAGUGGAUCUCAUCAGAGCACAACGCACUACAACAAUGUCCAGAAAGAGUUAUUUUCUGAUCUAUCUUCUAAUUACACUCUUCGUCGUCAACCAAGUUACGUCACAAAUUACCUUUCCUCGAGGAUGGAGGCCUGGAAAACGAUCAAGUAACUGCAAGGAACUUCAAAACGAUUCUGUAGUGAGGCUAAAACAUCUAGUCAAGGAUGAAAUCAUUAGACUUGCUAAAUGCGACUACACUUACCGAUUCCAAGAUACCAGUAAAUUACGUUAAGGCAAACAUCAGCUGAAAAACAAUUUAGGGAACCAGUUGGAUUUUCUUCUAACAGGGUUAUGUCGUAUAUUAAAGUUACUUAAGAAGAGAUUGUAUUUACUUUCCUAUCUACAAGAAAUAAAAUGUAUCAUGAA